GAAUCAAAGAAUAUUGAAAAAUAGGGCAAUAUUGAGUUCACAAUAAUUGCACACGUCAAGCCAAAGAUGAAAAUGCAUAUAAAGGGAACACUGCACAAAUUUUUCUCUUUCUCCAGCAAGCCUGCAGCUCCAAUCUCUUCAUUCAAUUCCCCAAACUCAAUGGUUGGAGCAAUGCAUGGGUCCAAUGCUUUUGUCACAAAGGAUCUAAUGAAGCAGCUUAUAGUGACCCCAAUUUCUUGCUUACACAGCAAUU
rnacentral:misc_RNA from 1 species